rnacentral:rRNA from 1 species
AGUGAACGCUGGCGGCGUGCUUAACACAUGCAAGUCGAACGAGAACGGGAUAAGGCUUGCCUUAUUUGUCAGCUAAGUGGCGCACGGGUGAGUAAUGUAUAGGUAAUGUGCCCUAGAGAGGGGGAUAAUUGAUGGAAACGUCUUGUAACACCCCAUAUGCCUUUAAGUCAAAAGACUGCAAGGGAAAUAUUUAUAGCUCUAGGAUCAGCCUGUAUGGUAUCAGUUAGUUGGUGGGGUAAUGGCCUACCAAGACUAUGACACCUAACUGGUUUGAGAGGAUGAUCAGUCACACUGGAACUGAGACACGGUCCAGACUCCUACGGGAGGCAGCAGUGGGGAAUAUUGCACAAUGGAGGAAACUCUGAUGCAGCAACGCCGCGUGGAGGAUGACACAUUUCGGUGCGUAAACUCCUUUUAUAUAAGAAGAUAAUGACGGUAUUAUAUGAAUAAGCACCGGCUAACUCCGU